CCGAUGAAGAGAAGAAAGCGAAGAAUAAGGAUCUGGCUGAGCAAAUAUCUCAGUCCCAGGUUGGUUCUAGCACUCCGAUCCGACUAAGUAGAGAGGAGGAGGACUCCAUCAUCGAGAUGGUUAUUGGACCGAGUAGGAAGAACAGAUACCGGUGGAGAGGAUCCAAGCAUCGGUCAUACGAGUCUAGUAGCACCUACGAGUCUGCAGCACUACCAGGAAGCAGUUCAUAUCAAAACCAACGGUGGAGCAGCGAUUGAAGAUUGGCAGUCGCAACAAACAACAUAUCAGCAGAUGACAGAGGAAGAACUGAGGUGCCGAGAGCGGAGAGAGUUGGAGUUCUCGUAGUUCAUGUCGACUCUGCCUCAGGAGGCUCAGGAGGUAUAUAGGAGACAGUUUAUAGCAGAUCAGUCCGGGACUUCUAGACUAGGUGGAGUCGGGGGUAAUCAUGUUGGAGGUGGUGAUGAGGAUGAUGGUGAUGAAUGAUUUGUAUUAGUUUAACUUUGAAAACAAUAUAUGGAUGUUGUAUAAACAAUAUGUAUUAUGUCGGGAUAUUUUUGCUUGUUUUAUUGAAAUAUAUUUGUUAUA